rnacentral:rRNA from 1 species
UAGGGGAAUCUUCGGCAAUGGGGGCAACCCCUGACCGAGCAACGCCGCGUGAGUGAAGAAGGUUUUCGGAUCGUAAAGCUCUGUUGUAAGAGAAGAACGUGUGUGAGAGUGGAAAGUUCACACAGUGACGGUAACUUACCAGAAAGGGACGGCUAACUACGUGCCGG